UAACUUCUUCGUACUCCAUGAUGGGUGGUCAAAUGUAUAGCAGGCAUUUUUUUUUUAUGCAAGCCUUUGUUGUACUAACACAAGAAUAUAUCAAAUGCACCAGGAGGGCGAGAUUGGCACACAGGGGAGACGCUUUGAACACAAAGUAACAAUGUUAUAAAUUUUUAUUCCCAAAGGAAACUUGAUGGUACAAAAGGAUUUGUGAAGGAAGACUCACUGCUAGUAGUGUAGUGGAGAAAAACAGAAGGCUUUUUUGUAAAAAUUUCUGGUCAUGGCUCCAUCUGCAAGCACAUCGAAAGUUGCUAG